rnacentral:rRNA from 1 species
AGUAAAAAUUGAAUGAAUCCCCGAGUAGCAUGGGGCACGUGAAAUCCCGUGUGAAUCUGCGAGGACCACCUCGUAAGGCUAAAUACUCCUAGGUGACCGAUAGUGAAACAGUACCGUGAGGGAAAGGUGAAAAGAACCCCCAGAGGGGAGUGAAAUAGAACAUGAAACCGUAAGCUUACAAGCAGUGGGAGGGGUUAAGCCCUGAUCGCGUGCCUGGUGAAGAAUGAGCCGGCGACUUAUAGGCAGUGGCUUGGUUAAAGCUUUUUAGGCUGGAGCCGUAGCGAAAGCUAGUCUGAAUAGGGCGAUUGUCCCUGUCUAUGGACCCGAACCCGGGUGAUCUAAUCAUGGCCAGGAUGAAGCUUGGGUAAAACUAAGUGGAAGACCGAACUCACUGAUGUUGAAAAAUCAGGAGAUGAGCUGUGAUUAGGGGUGAAAUACCAAUCGAACUCGGAGCUAGCUGGAUCUCCCCGAAAUGCGUUGAGGCGCAGCGGUUAGUCAUGAGCUGUCUAGGGGUAUAGCACUGUUUCGGUGCGGGCUGGGAAACUGGUACCAAAUCGUAGCAAACUCAGAAUACUAGACAUGCCUUCGGCUAGCCAGUGAGACAGUGGGGGAUAAGCUUCAUUGUCAAGAGGGAAACAGCCCAGAUCACCAGCUAAGGCCCCAAAAUGACUGCUAAGUGGCAAAGGAGGUGAGAGUGCACAGACAACCAGGAGGUUUGCCUAGAAGCAGCCACCCUUGAAAGAGUGCGUAAUAGCUCACUGGUCAAGCGCUCUUGCGCCAAAAAUGAACGGGACUAAGCAGUCUGCCGAAGCUGUGAAAAAGCUGACUUUGUCAGUUGAAUGGUAGGGGAGCGUUCCGCUGUAGGUAGAAGUAUUAGCGUAAGCAAGUAUGGACGACGCGGAAGUGAGAAUGUCGGCUUGAGUAACGAAAACAUUGGUGAGAAUCCAAUGCCCCGAAAACCUAAGGGUUCCUCCGCAAGGCUCGUCCACGGAGGGUGAGUCAGGACCUAAGGCGAGGCCGAAAGGCGUAGUCGAUGGCGAACAGGUCAAUAUUCCUGUACUGUAUUUUUUUGAAGUCCCGGGGGACGGAGAAGGCUAGACUUGGCCGGACGCUGGUUACCGGUUUAAGUAGUUAGGUGUUGAGAGGUAGAAUAAAAAAUAUCUUGAGCUAAGCUACGAGUACGUUUGUCUACGGACAAAAAAGCAAGUGAGGUCAUACUUCCUAGAAAAGCCCGAACGACGUUUUAUGAAUAAGCUUUAGUUUAUUGAUAGUUUAUGAAAAAUACACCUGUACCUGAAACCGACACAGGUAGGUAGGUAGAGUAUACCUAGGGGCGCGAGAUAACUCUCUCUAAGGAACUCGGCAAAAUGACUCCGUAACUUCGGGAGAAGGGGUACCCUCUUUGAGGGUCGCAGUGACCAGGCCCAAGCGACUGUUUACCAAAAACACAGGUCUCCGCUAAGUCGCAAGACGAUGUAUGGGGGCUGACGCCUGCCCAGUGCCGGAAGGUUAAGGAAGCCGGUCAGCGAAAGCGAAGCUGGCGACUGAAGCCCCGGUGAACGGCGGCCGUAACUAUAACGGUCCUAAGGUAGCGAAAUUCCUUGUCGGGUAAGUUCCGACCCGCACGAAAGGCGUAACGAUCAGGGCGCUGUCUCGGAG